CCUACGGGAGGCAGCAGUGGGGAAUAUUGGACAAUGGGCGCAAGCCUGAUCCAGCAAUGCCGCGUGUGUGAAGAAGGCCCUCGGGUUGUAAAGCACUUUUAUCAGGAACGAAAUACCACGGGUUAAUACCCUAUGGGGCUGACGGUACCUGAGGAAUAAGCACCGGCUAACUUCGUGCCAGCAGCCGCGGUAAUACGAAGGGUGCAAGCGUUAAUCGGAAUUACUGGGCGUAAAGGGUGCGUAGGCGGUUCGUUAAGUCUGUCGUGAAAUCCCCGGGCUCAACCUGGGAAUGGCGAUGGAUACUGGCGAGCUAGAGUGUGUCAGAGGAUGGUGGAAUUCCCGGUGUAGCGGUGAAAUGCGUAGAGAUCGGGAGGAACAUCAGUGGCGAAGGCGGCCAUCUGGGACAACACUGACGCUGAAGCACGAAAGCGUGGGGAGCAAACAGGAUUAGAUACCCUGGUAGUCCACGCCCUAAACGAUGCGAACUGGAUGUUGGUCUCAACUCGGAGAUCAGUGUCGAAGCUAACGCGUUAAGUUCGCCGCCUGGGGAGUACGGUCGCAAGACUGAAACUCAAAGGAAUUGACGGA
rnacentral:rRNA from 1 species